UCGAGCGCNGUAGCAAUACGGAGCGGCAGACGGGAGAGUAACACGUGGGAACGUGCCCUUCAGUUCGGAACAACCCCAGGGAAACUUGGGCUAAUACCGGAUACGCCCCCGCGCGAGCGGGGGGAAAGAUUUAUCGCUGAAGGAUCGGCCCGCGUCUGAUUAGCUUGUUGGUGAGGUAACGGCUCACCAAGGCGACGAUCAGUAGCUGGUCUGAGAGGAUGAUCAGCCUCACUGGGACUGAGACACGGCCCAGACUCCUACGGGAGGCAGCAGUGGGGAAUAUUGGACAAUGGGCGCAAGCCUGAUCCAGCCAUGCCGCGUGGGUGAUGAAGGCCUUAGGGUUGUAAAGCCCUUUCGGCGGGGAAGAUAAUGACGGUACCUGCAGAAGAAGCCCCGGCUAACUUCGUG
rnacentral:rRNA from 1 species